rnacentral:lncRNA from 1 species
CUACUCGGGAGGCUGAAGCAGGAGAAUGGCUUGAACCUGGGAAGUAGAGGUUGCAGUGAGCCGAGAUCACACCACUGUACUCUAGCCUGGGCAACGAGAGUGAAACUCCAUCUCAAAAAAAAAAAAAAAAAAAAGUGAGGAGGGCUCACAGUGUGGCAAGUGCUUCAAAAUACAAGGAAGCCAAAAGGACAACCACUGGAUAUGGUAACAUCAAUCACUGGAGACCCUGGCGAUUUUAGCAGAGUAAAGAAGACAGAAGACAGAUUGGAGUAUGCCAAGGAGGGAAUAGGAUGUAAGAAAGCAAAGACACUGAGACAAUACUCUGGAUAAGUUUUGUUGUGAAGAGGCAGAGAAAAUGGCACAGCGGAUGGCUGGGAGGCAAAGGAUCAACAAAGAAGGGUAUAACUGCAGAAACAAGUGCUCGUAUUAUAACUUUACACUCCACUGAAAUUAGUUUUUUCAAACUAUAUGAAUUUCUUAAGAGCAGAAUUUCCUAUUUUCUACCUUUUCUCUGUAUCAUAGUGUCAGAGGCGUUUGAACCAGAGCAACUCCAUCUUCAGUAGGGGUUUGGUAAAAUAAGGCUAAGACCUACUGGGCUACAUUCCCAGUAAGUUAAGGCAGUCUUAAUCACAGAAUGAAAUAGGAAGUCAGCACAAAAUGCAGGACACAAAAACCCUGCUAAUAAAACAGGUAGGUUAUAGUAAAGAAGCUGACCAGCUGGGUGCGGUGGCUCAUGCCUGUAAUCCCAGCGCUUUGGGAGGCUGAGGCGGGCAGAUCACCUGAGGUUGGGAGUUCGAG